rnacentral:misc_RNA from 1 species
UUUCCGUAGGUGAACCUGCGGAAGGAUCAUUAAAAAAUUGGACUCCAUUGGUGAGUUCAUUAAUAAUCCCUACCCUUUGUGAAUUUGUUUGUUUGAAUAAUUUUUUUUCCAAAAAAAAUUAUUGAAUGUCUUUCCUUGUUUUGGUGGAGCUUGUAAAGUGAAACCAGGCAGGGGAAUGGCAAACAAUAAUUAUUUUUGAAAAAGACCUUUUUUUAAAAUUAAACUUUUUGUAUUCAUUUGUCUAAAAUUAAUUUUUAUAAUAUAAAAACAACUUUUGACAAUGGAUCUCUUGGUUCUCGCAACGAUGAAGAACGCAGCAAAAUGCGAUAAGUAGUGUGAAUUGCAGAAUACGUGAAUCAUCGAAUCUUCGAACGCAUAUUGCACUUUUUUAGUUUACUAAAAAAGUAUGUCUGUUUGAGUAUCAGUAAAAUAUUCUCAUAAAAAACAUUGUUUUUUUUAUGGUUAUGAGUGUUUUACAACGAUAACAAGUUGUUUCACUUUAAACUCUUUGUUAUCAAAAAAAUCAUUAAAAGCUAAUUUUAAAGAUUUUUUAAAAUUGGAUAAAAUUUUCCCGUAAAAAGGAAUAACCUAAACAAUUUUAAAAAAUUAAAAUUGGUUUGAUUUUUUUUGAAACCCAAAGGAAAAAAAAACGAAAUUAACUUGAUCUCAAAUCAGAUAAGAGUACCCGCUGAACUUAAGCAUAUCAAUAAGCGGAGGAAAAGAAACUAACUAGGAUUCCCUCAGUAACGGCGAGUGAAGCGGGAAGAGCUCAAAUUUGAAAUCUUCAAGGUUUUACCUUGACGAAUUGUAGUUUAAAGAAGUGUUUUCUGUUGGAGUUUUGGUAAAAGUUCUUUGGAAAAGGACAUCAUAGAGGGUGAGAAUCCCGUAUUUGACCAUUAUCUCCAGCUUUGUGAUACACUUUCAAGGAGUCGGAUUGUUUGGGAAUGCAGUCCAAAAUGGGUGGUAAAUUUCAUCUAAAGCUAAAUACUGGCGAGAGACCGAUAGCGAACAAGUACCGUGAGGGAAAGAUGAAAAGAACUUUGAAAAGAGAGUUGAACAGUACGUGAAAUUGUCAAAAGGGAAGCGUUUGACACCAGUGUUGUUUUCUCGAAAAUCAAUUAAAAAAGGCCGGAUUUUGUGUUGUAUUGACUUUAUCAGCUUUCUGCACUCUUUUCUUGUCUUUUUUAAUGCACUUUUCGUUUAACAAGUCAACAUCAAUUUCUUUUGUUGUAAAAGGGUCAUUGGAAGGUGGCUUUCUUUUCGGAGAAAGUGUUUAUAGCCUUUGGCCUCUGCAAUCGGAGAGAUUGAGGUCUGCAGCGUAGAUCCUUCGGGGUUAGAUACAUUUGUGCUAAGUUAUAGCCUUUCAUAGACAACUUGUUGACUAUGAUCAGUCAUGUAGCUUACUCGCUUAUGCUAUUU